rnacentral:lncRNA from 1 species
UAAAAAUUUCUGUAACUUUUUCAAAUGGUCUUGGAUAUUCAUAAAACUCUACAGUUUACUCAAUUACAUAUUAAUCUUACUAAAUGCCAGGUGAUAUGGUAGUUUAUUAUAUUGGUGUCAACUGUAUAGAUUUAAUUGAUAGGUAAAAAAACCUGGAAUUUUUCAUGUCGCAAAAAAUUAUGCUAGUCAACUUUAAAAGGCUCUGUAACUUUUUCAAAUGAACUUGGAUAUUCUUAAAACUCUUCAGUUAACUCAAUCACAUAUUUAUCUUACUUAAUACCUGGUUAUAAAGUAGUUUGUUAUAUUGGUGUCAACUGUAAAGA